rnacentral:rRNA from 1 species
AUUGAACGCUGGCGGCAGGCCUAACACAUGCAAGUCGAGCGGAUGAAGGGAGCUUGCUCCUGGAUUCAGCGGCGGACGGGUGAGUAAUGCCUAGGAAUCUGCCUGGUAGUGGGGGAUAACGUCCGGAAACGGGCGCUAAUACCGCAUACGUCCUGAGGGAGAAAGUGGGGGAUCUUCGGACCUCACGCUAUCAGAUGAGCCUAGGUCGGAUUAGCUAGUUGGUGGGGUAAAGGCCUACCAAGGCGACGAUCCGUAACUGGUCUGAGAGGAUGAUCAGUCACACUGGAACGGAGACACGGUCCAGACUCCUAAGGGAGGGAGCAGUGGGGAAUAGUGGACAAUGGGCGAAAGCCUGAUCCAGCCAUGCCGCGUGUGUGAAGAAGGUCUUCGGAUUGUAAAGCACUUUAAGUUGGGAGGAAGGGCAGUAAGUUAAUACCUUGCUGUUUUGACGUUACCAACAGAAUAAGCACCGGCUAACUUCGUG